GUGAGGAAUAUUGGUCAAUGGGUGCAAGCCUGAACCAGCCAUCCCGCGUGAAGGACGACUGCCCUAUGGGUUGUAAACUUCUUUUGUAUAGGGAUAAACCUACCCUCGUGAGGGUAGCUGAAGGUACUAUACGAAUAAGCACCGGCUAACUCCGUGCCAGCAGCCGCGGUAAUACGGAGGGUGCAAGCGUUAUCCGGAUUUAUUGGGUUUAAAGGGUCCGUAGGCGGACUUAUAAGUCAGUGGUGAAAGCCUGUCGCUUAACGAUAGAACUGCCAUUGAUACUGUAAGUCUUGAGUAUAUUUGAGGUAGCUGGAAUAAGUAGUGUAGCGGUGAAAUGCAUAGAUAUUACUUAGAACACCAAUUGCGAAGGCAGGUUACCAAGAUAUAACUGACGCUGAGGGACGAAAGCGUGGGGAGCGAACAGGAUUAGAAACCCUAGUAGUCC
rnacentral:rRNA from 1 species